AGAGUUUGAUCCUGGCUCAGAUUGAACGCUGGCGGCAUGGAUUAGGCAUGCAAGUCGAACGUGAAGCUCUAGCUUGCUAGAGUGGAAAGUGGCGAAAGGGUGAGUAACACGUGAAUAAUCUGCCCUCAAGUCGGGGAUAGCCUCUGGAAACGGAGAUUAAUACCGGAUGUGGUAAUUUGAUCGCAUGAUCUUAUUACUAAAAUCUUUUUGCUUGAGGAUGAGUUCGCGGCCCAUUAGCUAGUUGGUAAGGUAACGGCUUACCAAGGCUCUGACGGGUAGGUGGUCUGAGAGGAUGGUCACCCACACUGGGACUGAGACACUGCCCAGACUCCUACGGGAGGCUGCAGUCGAGAAUCUUCCGCAAUGGGCGAAAGCCUGACGGAGCAAUGCCGCGUGAACGAUGACGGUCUUCGGAUUGUAAAGUUCUGUCACCAGGGACGAAAUUUGACGGUACCUGGAGAGGAAGUGACGGCUAACUACGUGCCAGCAGCCGCGGUAAUACGUAGGUCACGAGCGUUAAUCGGAUUUAUUGGGCGUAAAGGGUCCGCAGGGGGUUUAUUAAGUCUGAUGUGAAAGCCGGCGGCUCAACCGCUGAACUGCAUUGGAAACUGAUGAACUGGAGUAUUGGAGAGGAAAGUGGAAUUCCUGGUGUAGCGGUGGAAUGCUUAGAUAUCAGGAGGAACAUCAAUGGCGAAGGCAGCUUUCUGGACAAUUACUGACCCUCAUGGACGAAAGCGUGGGUAGCAAACAGGAUUAGAUACCCUGGUAGUCCACGCUGUAAACGGUCUACACUAGUUGUGGGAGGAUUUGACCCCUUCCGUGACCAAGCUAACGCGUUAAGUGUAGCGCCUGGGGAGUACGGUCGCAAGAUUAAAACUCAAAGGAAUUGACGGGGGCCCGCACAAGCGGUGGAGCAUGUGGCUUAAUUCGAGGCAACGCGAAGAACCUUACCUGGAUUUGACAUAUAUCUGACAGUCUUAGAGAUAAGAUCUUCUUUCGGGACAGAUAUACAGGUGCUGCAUGGCUGUCGUCAGCUCGUGCCGUGAGGUGUUCGGUUAAGUCCGGCAACGAGCGCAACCCACAUUGUUAGUUGCUACCAGGUGAUGCUGGGCACUCUAGCAAGACUGCCUGUGUUAAGCAGGAGGAAGGCGUGGAUGACGUCAAGUCAGUAUGGCCCUUACGUCCAGGGCUGCACACGUGCUACAAUGGGUGAUACAGAAGGACGCCAACUCGCGAGAGUGAGCAAAUCCCAAAAAUCAUCCCCAGUUCGGAUUGGAGUCUGCAACUCGACUCCAUGAAGUCGGAAUCGCUAGUAAAGGCGUAUCAGCUACGACGCCUUGAAUACGUUCCCGGGCCUUGUACACACCGCCCGUCACAUCAUGGGAGCUGACUGCACCCGAAGCCGCCGGCCCAACCGUUUACGGAGGGAGGCGUCUAAGGUGUGCUCAGUGACUGGGAUGAAGUCGAAACAAGGUA
rnacentral:rRNA from 1 species